rnacentral:rRNA from 1 species
UGGGGAAUAUUGCACAAUGGGCGCAAGCCUGAUGCAGCCAUGCCGCGUGUGUGAAGAAGGCCUUCGGGUCGUAAAGCACUUUCAGCGAGGAGGAAGGUGGUGAACUUAAUACGUUCAUCAAUUGACGUUACUCGCAGAAGAAGCACCGGCUAACUCCGUGCCAGCAGCCGCGGUAAUACGGAGGGUGCAAGCGUUAAUCGGAAUUACUGGGCGUAAAGCGCACGCAGGCGGUUUGUUAAGUCAGAUGUGAAAUCCCCGGGCUCAACCUGGGAACUGCAUUUGAAACUGGCAAGCUAGAUCUCGUAGAGGGGGGUAGAAUUCCAGGUGUAGCGGUGAAAUGCGUAGAGAUCUGGAGGAAUACCGGUGGCGAAGGCGGCCCCCUGGACGAAGACUGACGCUCAGGUGCGAAAGCGUGGGGAGCAAACAGGAUUA